CGUUCCCCUUCUCCGGCUCCGGCGGGCCGGCUUCACUGUCCAAUGCCCACCCGGAGCUGGGAGGAGGAGCCUGCGUAGUGUGCGUGUAAAGGGAGGGGGGAGCGGGCUGGGGCCCACGGUGUUUGACCCGUCGGUCGGUGAGUAAGACGAAAAGGAAGGAGGAGGUCCACAGUAGCGGUUGCCGAAAUGUUCCGGUGUGGAGGCCUUGCGGCGGGUGCUUUGAAGCAGAAGCUGGUGCCCUUGGUGCGGACCGUGUGCGUCCGAAGCCCGAGGCAGAGGAACCGGCUCCCAGGCAACUUGUUCCAGCGAUGGCAUGUUCCUCUAGAACUCCAGAUGACAAGACAAAUGGCUAGCUCUGGUGCAUCAGGGGGCAAAAUCGAUAAUUCUGUGUUAGUCCUUAUUGUGGGCUUGUCAACAAUAGGAGCUGGUGCAUAUGCCUACAAGACUAUAAAAGAUGACAAAAAAAGAUACAAUGAAAGAAUAUCAGGGUUAGGGCUGACACCAGAAGAGAAACAGAAAAGGGCUGCAUCAUCUGCUGCAGAAGGAGAGCCAGUUUCUCAAGUCAGGGUACCAAGUCAUGUUCCUUUCCUACUAAUCGGUGGAGGCACUGCUGCUUUUGCUGCAGCUAGAUCCAUCCGGGCUCGAGAUCCUGGAGCCAGGGUACUGAUUAUAUCUGAAGAUCCUGAGCUGCCAUACAUGCGACCUCCUCUUUCAAAAGAAUUAUGGUUUUCAGAUGAUCCAAAUGUCACAAAGACACUGCGAUUCAGACAGUGGAAUGGAAAAGAGAGAAGCAUAUAUUUCCAGCCACCUUCUUUCUAUGUCUCUGCUCAGGACCUACCUCACAUUGAGAAUGGUGGUGUGGCUGUCCUCACUGGAAAGAAGGUAGUACAGCUGGAUGUGAGAGACAACAUGGUGAAACUUAAUGAUGGCUCUCAAAUAACCUAUGAAAAGUGCUUGAUUGCAACAGGAGGCACUCCAAGAAGUCUGUCUGCCAUUGAUAGGGCUGGGGCAGAGGUGAAGAGCAGAACAACACUUUUCAGAAAGAUUGGAGACUUUAGAGCCUUGGAGAAGAUUUCACGGGAAGUCAAGUCAAUUACGAUUAUUGGUGGGGGCUUCCUUGGCAGCGAACUGGCCUGUGCUCUUGGCAGAAAAGCUCAAGCCUUGGGCACAGAAGUGAUUCAACUCUUCCCUGAGAAAGGAAAUAUGGGAAAGAUCCUCCCUGAAUACCUCAGCAACUGGACCAUGGAAAAAGUCAGACGAGAGGGGGUUAAGGUGAUGCCCAAUGCCAUUGUGCAAUCAGUGGGAGUCAGCGGUGGCAAGUUACUCAUCAAGCUAAAAGACGGCAGGAAGGUAGAAACUGACCACAUCGUGGCAGCUGUGGGCCUGGAGCCCAAUGUUGAGUUGGCCAAGACUGGUGGGCUGGAAAUAGACUCAGAUUUUGGUGGCUUCCGGGUAAAUGCAGAGCUACAAGCACGCUCUAACAUCUGGGUGGCAGGAGAUGCUGCAUGCUUCUACGACAUAAAGUUGGGGAGGAGGCGGGUAGAGCACCACGAUCACGCUGUUGUGAGCGGAAGAUUGGCUGGAGAAAAUAUGACCGGAGCUGCUAAGCCAUACUGGCAUCAGUCAAUGUUCUGGAGUGAUUUGGGUCCUGAUGUUGGCUAUGAAGCUAUUGGUCUUGUGGACAGUAGUUUGCCCACAGUCGGUGUUUUUGCAAAAGCAACUGCACAAGACAACCCAAAAUCUGCCACGGAGCAGUCAGGGACUGGUAUCCGAUCAGAGAGUGAGACAGAAUCCGAGGCCUCAGAAAUUGCUAUUCCUCCCAGCACUCCUGCAGUUCCACAGGCCCCUGUCCAAGGGGAGGACUACGGCAAAGGUGUCAUCUUCUACCUCAGGGACAAAGUGGUCGUGGGGAUCGUGCUAUGGAACAUCUUUAACAGAAUGCCAAUAGCAAGGAAGAUCAUUAAGGACGGUGAGCAACAUGAAGAUCUCAAUGAAGUAGCCAAACUAUUCAAUAUUCACGAAGACUGAAGCCCCACUGUGGAACAGGCAAGCUCAUCACUGUCCCUGAUAGCUGGCUGGAUGGGGCCUGUUUUGGAGACAAGAGGCUUAAAACAGAAAGGGAUGGGGGUGGGCAUCCACGGUGACCUACUGCAGGCUGCUUCCUUGAAGGAAAAUCAGCAGCUUCUCAAGAGACCCAUUUAUACAAAGGAACUCUCCCCUCCCUUCCACCACUACCCCUUCCCUUUCCCGCUCCUCUCAAGAUUGGCUGCUGCGAUAUCCCGUCUGUACGUCCUUCCCUGACUCCACCUAAAGCUGGGCACCCCUGCUGCCCUGGAGAUUGUUGGGAGUCGAUCCCAGUGCCUUGCUUUCUGGGCAGAGGGGAAGUCCUGCUGGGCCCAGAGGUGAAGUAGGACUGCCUCUGGCCUCUUUCCCAUCUUAUCAGGGAAUUUCUGGCGGGCACAGACACACACAGCCCAAGCCAGUGAUGACGUCCCCCUGCCUGGCUGGUUCUACAGAUGGGUGUGACUAGGUCAGAGUACAGGGAGGGUCUAAAUAUUUAGACACUGGACUGCCAAGCCCUUGUUGGAAACCAGGGAUCAUCUCAAAAUGAACAUUUGGAGAAAGAAAAGCAGCCCCUGACAUCCCAAAGCUGGCCUGGUACUGUUGGCAAGGCCUUGGUGUGGCUACCAACUGGCCUAGCACUCACAGCUAUGUCUGGGUGUUCUGUUGAACAUAGAUUCACAGGACAUCAGCAUCAUGCAAGGCCACUGUGUCACCAUGGUGAGUUGAGACAAAAACAAGACUACUCCAUAAUCAUGUGAACAUGGACAAAAGCAUGAACACUGCCCAAACCUCACAAAUAACCAAACACCCCCCCAUCCUGGCUAGUCUGAGUGACUGCUCUUCCUUACUAAUCACAGCUUUUGCCUUGCUGUAGUCCGCCCUCCUAUUGGAUAAGAUUUAUUUAAUAAGGUACCCAAUCCAAUCAUAGAAUUACCCCUGCUUUCUGGCAGUGUCCAAUCCAGAGUAAAGCCUGGCUUCCUUAAACCCUCCCCCAAGUCCCCCAACCUAACUAGAAUCCUAUAACAAGUCCUUUCUAGAACCCUCUUCCUGAGAUACCCCAUGGUUCCCCACAGGGUACCUUCUCCU